rnacentral:tRNA from 1 species
GGCCCAGUAGCUCAGUGGAUAGAGCGAGUGCCUCCUAAGCACUAGGUCAGCCGUUCGAUUCGGCUUUGGGUCA